AUUCAUUUAGUAUAUAAAGUAUAUUUAACUUCCAAUUAAAAGGAUUAAUAAAAAUGAAUA
rnacentral:tRNA from 4 species